AAUUCUCAACCCCUCUAGGGGGGCUUGGAUAUGGGAGUUUGCUGGUCCUUAUCACAAAGGUCAGCUCUCCUGAAAUACAUUAGCGGAACCGUUUGCAGUCCCCGUCACUAGUGUGAUAAUUAUCUACACUGUGAAUAGAUUGCUCUCUGACUAGUUCAGCUGCUAAUCGUCCACUAUGGACAACGGAUUUGAACGUG
rnacentral:misc_RNA from 1 species